UUAGAUCACCAGUUAGAUCACCUGUUAGAUCACCAGUUAGAUCACCAGUUAGAUCACCUGUUAGAUCACCAGUUAGAUCACCAGUUAGAUCACCAGUUAGAUCACCAGUUAGAUCACCAGUUAGAUCACCUGUUAGAUCACCAGUUAGAUCACCAGUUAGAUCACCAGUUAGAUCACCNNNNNNNNNNAGUAUAUAUCUCUGGUAUCCCCAGUAUACUAGUCAGUAUAUCUGUUGUAUCCCCAGAACACUAGGCAGUAUGUCUGUUGUAUCCUCAGUACACUAUUCAGUAUAUCUCACUGGUAUCCCCAGUACACUAGGCAGUAUAUCUCACUGGUAUCCCCAGUACACUAGGCAGUAUAUCUGUUGUAUCCCCAGAACACUAGGCAGUAUAUCUCACUUGUAUCCCCAGAACACUAGGCAGUAUAUCUCACUGGUAUCCCCAGUACACUAGGCAGUAUAUCUCACUGGUAUCCCCAGUACACUAGGCAGUAUAUCUCACUGGUGUCCCCAGUACACUAGGCAAUAUAUCUCACUGGUAUCCCCCAUACAUUUAAGCAAUAAGGCC
rnacentral:lncRNA from 13 species